GACGAACGCUGGCGGCGUGCUUAACACAUGCAAGUCGAACGGAAAGGCCCUGCUUUUGUGGGGUGCUCGAGAGGCGAACGGGUGAGUAACACGUGAGUAACCUGCCCUUGACUUUGGGAUAACUUCAGGAAACUGGGGCUAAUACCGGAUAGGAGCUCCUGCUGCAUGGUGGGGGUUGGAAAGUUUCGGCGGUUGGGGAUGGACUCGCGGCUUAUCAGCUUGUUGGUGGGGUAGUGGCUUACCAAGGCUUUGACGGGUAGCCGGCCUGAGAGGGUGACCGGCCCCAGUGGGACUGAGAUACGGCCCAGACUCCUACGGGAGGAAGCAGUGGGGAAUAUUGCACAAUGGGCGGAAGCCUGAUGCAGCAACGCCGCGUGCGGGAUGACGGCCUUCGGGUUGUAAACCGCUUUCGCCUGUGACGAAGCGUGAGUGACGGUAAUGGGUAAAGAAGCACCGGCUAACUACGUG
rnacentral:rRNA from 1 species